rnacentral:rRNA from 1 species
UACGAAGGUUGCAAGCGUUACUCGGAAUUACUAGGCGUAAAGGGCAGGUAGGUGGUUUGGUAAGUCUGUUGUGAAAGCUCCCGGCUCAACUGGGAGAGGCCAACGGAUACUGCCAGGCUUGAGUAUAGGAGAGGUUACUGGAAUUCCCGGUGUAGCGGUGAAAUGCGCAGAGAUCGGGAGGAACACCAAUGGCGAAAGCAGGUAACUGGACUAUUACUGACACUCAACUGCGAAAGCUAGGGGAGCAAACAGGAUUAGAUACCCUGGUAGUCCUAGCCGUAAACGAUGCAUAUUAGACGUGAGGGGUAUCGACCCCCUUCGUGUCGACGCUAACGCAUUAAAUAUGCCGCCUGGGGAGUACGGCCGCAAGGUUGAA